rnacentral:misc_RNA from 1 species
GAUGAAGAACGUAGCGAAAUGCGAUAAGUAAUGUGAAUUGCAGAAUUCAGUGAAUCAUCGAAUCUUUGAACGCACAUUGCGCCCGCCAGUAUUCUGGCGGGCAUGCCUGUUCGAGCGUCAUUACAACCCUCAGGCCCCCGGGCCUGGCGUUGGGGAUCGGCGGAAGCCCCCUGCGGGCACAACGCCGUCCCCCAAAUACAGUGGCGGUCCCGCCGCAGCUUCCAUUGCGUAGUAGCUAACACCUCGCAACUGGAGAGCGGCGCGGCCACGCCGUAAAACACCCAACUUCUGAAUGUUGACCUCGAAUCAGGUAGGAAUACCCGCUGAACUUAAGCAUAUCAAUCAGCGGAGGA